AAAUUCCGUUGUAAAGUUGUACAGUCUUACGUUGAAGGGCUCUGCUGGGUUCUUCGAUAUUAUUACCAGGGCUGUGCUUCCUGGAAGUGGUAUUAUCCAUUUCAUUAUGCACCAUUUGCUUCAGACUUUGAAGGUGUUGCAGACAUGCCUUCUGAUUUUGAGAAGGGUACUAAACCGUUUAAACGACUGGAACAACUUAUGGGAGUUUUUCCAGCUGCAAGUGGUAACUUCCUACCUCCAUCGUGGCGGAAGCUCACGAGUGAUCCUGAUUCUAGUAUAAUUGACUUCUACCCUGAAGAUUUUGCUAUUGAUUUAAAUGGGAAGAAAUAUGC